rnacentral:rRNA from 1 species
UACGUAGGGGGCUAGCGUUGUCCGGAAUCAUUGGGCGUAAAGCGCGUGUAGGCGGUCCGGUAAGUCCGCUGUGAAAGUCGGGGGCUCAACCCUCGAAUGCCGGUGGAUACUGUCGGGCUAGAGUGCGGAAGAGGCGAGUGGAAUUCCCGGUGUAGCGGUGAAAUGCGCAGAUAUCAGGAGGAACACCAACGGCGAAGGCAGCUCGCUGGGACGGUACUGACGCUGAGGCGCGAAAGCGUGGGGAGCAAACAGG